rnacentral:tRNA from 1 species
GGCUCCGUAGCUCAACUGAAUAGAGCAUCAGAUUUCGGCUCUGAGGGUUGGGGGUUUGAAUCCCUCCGGGGUCACAA